GGGGGUGUUAUUGGUUUGGGAUUUAGAAAGACUUUUAGUGACUUGAUAAUAAAGGAUUUUAAAAGAUUGUUAAAAAGUUUUAUAUUAUCUUGAUGAUUUAUUUUCCAAAAUCUUGUAAAGUCUUUAAAACUUUUUUCCAUAAUCUUGUAUACUCUUGAUGACUUUUCCAAACUUUUCCUACAAAAUAUUUCCAAAAUCUUGUCCAAACUUUAACGAGAAGUAAGAGCAAGCUACCUGUUCCUGAAGAAAAAUAUUAUCUAGUUGAUUGUGGAUUUGCAAAUCGACGCAAUUUUUUAGCUCCGUUCAGAGGUACAAAGUAUCAUCUAUAAGACUUUAGAGGUCAAGGUUGUGAUCCUAGUAAUCAAAAUGAGUUAUUCAACUUGCGUCAUGCAUCUUUGAGAAAUGUGAUCGAGAGAAUUUUUGGUAUCUUCAAAUCUCGCUUUUUGAUUUUCAAAUCAGCACCGCCUAUUCCUUUUAAGGUACAAGCAGAACUUGUAUUAGCUUGUGCUGGAUUACAUAACUUUCUUCGUAGAGAAUGUCGGUCCGAUGAGUUUCUUCCCGAAGAAUACAGUGACAACGACGAAAAAAACAAUGAGAGCCACGAAGAAAACAAUUAUGAGGAAAAUAGAGAUACGGGACCUCUCCAAUCUCAACAAAGGGAAUAUGCUAAUAAUUGGAGAGACACAAUAGCUGCUAGUAUGUGGGCAGAAGCUACAGGAACAGGGAGCAUACCAUGAAGAUCAUGAAGUUUUUAUUUUCAAAUAUUUUUCUCUUCUUUGUCUGUGUUGGAUUAAGGGGUGACAAAGAUCUUGGUUUGUUUGGUUUCAUUGUUUGUGACGAAGCUUGCUAUCUUUGAGCAAACUUUUGAUUUUCUUUUUAUAAUAAGUUUUUAUUUACCAGAGAGUUGUACUAAUUUGGUUCUUCGAUUUUGCGGUUUUGAGUCUUGAUAGUCUUGUUUUUGCUU